ensembl:misc_RNA 7SK 7SK RNA
GAAUGUGGGGGUGAGCUGGCUGCAAGAUCUGUCACCCCAUUAAUGCCAGGGUUGAUUCAGCUGAUCUGGCUGGCUAGGCGGGUGUCCCCUUCCUCGCUCAUGCUCCAUGUGUGUCCCUCCCAAAGCUGCAUGCUUAGUUGAAGAGGAUGGCCUUCACCAAAUAGAGACAUACCAGUCUUAGGUCAAGGGUAUACAAGUAGCUGUACUCCCCUGCUAGAACCUCCAAACAAGCUCUCAAGGUCCAUUUGUAGGAGAACAUAGGCAGUCAAGCUUCCAAGACUCCAGACACAUCCAAAUGAGCCACUUCAUUUGGCAGUCUUUCUUA